rnacentral:lncRNA from 1 species
GCCCCGUUCCAAGUCCUGAAGAGAUGCAGAGUCCAGUAAUUCAAAGGUGACCCGAAGCUCCAUUACUCCAUGUCUUUACUGCACAGAUAGGAGCCUAAGGCGGGACAACCUAAAGAGGCAGUCAACUGUCGGUAGAAUAGAACUAGAACCCUGAACUCUGAUCUUUCCCUUCCUCCAGGCAGUGAAGCAAGUGACAUGGAUUCUCUCCAACCACCUAAGUAUUUCGUUUUAUGAAGAGAUGAGUUUUGACCUGGUGCUGCUAUAAGCUUCCUCAGUCAGGAAGCUCUGCCUGUCCAGGAUUUCCUGUGUGUGGGAAAGAAACAGGAUGAGCAGAUUAAUCCUCCAUGGCUUUUAAAAAAAAAAGUACAUGAGGCCCUCCUUCUGGCAGAGGAAUGGGCUGGAGCAAAGUCCCUGAGGCAGCAAGAAGGAAUCCUAGAGAAACCAUCUCUGCUGGACCUGGUGGCACGUGCCUUUAAUCCCAGCACUCAGGAGUCUGAGGCAGGAGGAUCAUUGCAAGUUUGAAGCCAGCCUGGGCUAUGGAGUGAGUUCAAUACCAGCCUGCGCUACAAAGUAAGACCCCAUCAUAAAAACCAAAAUCAAAC